AAUCAACGCUGGCGGCGUGCCUAACACAUGCAAGUCGAACGCGAAAGCCCCGAAAGGGGCAAGUAGAGUGGCAAACGGGUGAGUAACGCGUGGGUGACCUGCCUUCGAGCGGGGGAUAACGUUCCGAAAGGGACGCUAAUACCGCAUAACAUCCUGCCCUUGAACGGGUGGCGAUCAAAGCUGGGGAUUCGCAAGAACCCGGCACUUGAAGAGGGGCCCGCGUCUGAUUAGCUAGUUGGUGAGGUAACGGCUCACCAAGGCAACGAUCAGUAUCCGGCCUGAGAGGGCGGACGGACACACUGGGACUGAGACACGGCCCAGACUCCUACGGGAGGCAGCAGUGGGGAAUUGUUCGCAAUGGGCGCAAGCCUGACGGCGCAACGCCGCGUGGAGGAUGAAGAUUUUCGGAUCGUAAACUCCUGUCGAAUGGGACGAAAAGAUUGUGGGUUAACAGCCCGUAGUCCUGACGGUACCGUUAAAGGAAACCCCCGCUAACUCCGUGCCAGCAGCCGCGGUAAUACGGGGGGG
rnacentral:rRNA from 1 species